GAUGAAGAACGUAGCGAAAUGCGAUAAGUAAUGUGAAUUGCAGAUUUCAGUGAAUCAUCGAAUCUUUGAACGCACAUUGCGCCCCCUGGUAUUCCGGGGGGCAUGCCUGUUCGAGCGUCAUUACAACCCUCAAGCUCUGCUUGGUGUUGGGCCCCGCCGCCCCGGCGGGCCCUAAAAUCAGUGGCGGUGCCGUCCGGCUCCGAGCGUAGUAAUUCUUCUCGCUCUGGAGGUCCGGGUGUGUGCUCGCCAGCAACCCCCAAUUUUUUUCAGGUUGACCUCGGAUCAGGUAGGGAUACCCGCUGAACUUAAGCAUAUCAAUAAGCGGAGGA
rnacentral:misc_RNA from 1 species